rnacentral:rRNA from 1 species
CAAUAGCGUAUAUUUAAGUUGCUGCAGUUAAGAAGCUCGUAGUUGGAUUUCGGGUGGGAAUGGCCGGUCCGCCGUUUCGGUGUGCACUUGCUACGCCCACCUUGCUGCCGGGGACGUGCUCUUGAGUUCACGCUCGGGACACGGAGUCGGCGAGGUUACUUUGAGUAAAUUAGAGUGUUCGAAACAGGCCUACGCUCUGAAUACAUUAGCAUGGAAUAACACGAUAGGACUCUGGCCUAUCUUGUUGGUCUGUAGGACCGGAGUAAUGAUUAAGAGGGACAGUCGGGGGCAUUCGUAUUUCAUUGUCAGAGGUGAAAUUCUUGGAUUUAUGAAAGACGAACUACCGCGAAAGCAUUUGCCAAGGAUGUUUUCAUUAA